rnacentral:rRNA from 1 species
AACGAACGCUGGCGGCAUGUCUAACACAUGCAAGUCGAACGAGACCUUCGGGUCUAGUGGCGCACGGGUGCGUAACGCGUGGGAACCUGCCCUUAGGUUCGGAAUAACUCCCCGAAAGGGGUGCUAAUACCGGAUAAUGUCUUCGGACCAAAGAUUUAUCGCCUUUGGAUGGGCCCGCGUUGGAUUAGCUAGUUGGUAGGGUAAAAGCCUACCAAGGCGACGAUCCAUAGCUGGUCUGAGAGGAUGAUCAGCCACACUGGGACUGAGACACGGCCCAGACUCAUACGGGAGGCAGAAGUGGGGAAUAUUGGACCAUGGGCGAAAGCCUGAUCCAGCAAUGCCGCGUGAGUGAUGAAGGCCUUAGGGUUGUAAAGCUCUUUUACCCGGGAUGAUAAUGACAGUACCGGGAGAAUAAGCACCGGCUAACUCCGUG